rnacentral:lncRNA from 1 species
CAGUACGAGGUCUUUUCGGCGUACGGAGUAUUUGUACGCCACCCAUACCAGAUAUCAAUACCGAACCGGUACAGUAUGUCUCGUACCGGCUGGUUCGGUACCGGUACAGCGAACCAUGCCAACAAGCUUUCUAUAUCUUUAGAUAUGCUGCUUUACAAAAUUUUGAUAUUAGGCAGACACAACUUUUGCUGCCUGAGUAAGUCUAGCAUUGGCCUGCAUUAUGCCUAAUUUCUAGCUAAAGUUUUCUCCUAAAGGGACCUGUACACUAAUCAACUUCAUGGUUUUCAAAAGCAAACGGUACUCUUAAGGUGACAUGAUCUCUAUAUCUCUUGAGGUGCUAGGUGCUAAAAAAGUGCUCACCCGAGGAAAGCAGGUCACUAAUUUGUGAAAAAUGCAAUAAAUAUUGUUUCUACGUAAAAACAAUGCAAACAUUGUAACAGUAUUCAUUUAAGUUUCAACAUCCUACAUCAUAAUUGUCUUAGACAUUAACCAUCAUGUCUCACAUCAA